UUUUUUGGCUACCUCUUAAAUUCAAAACACCUAUUCCCCCUCAGGGAUCAUUUUGAUUCAAAUACAAUAAAAUUUCAGAUAUAAAACCAACUUCCAGUUAACACACAAAUACCUACUAUAUGCCAGACUAUAUGCUAAAACUGAAAAGGUGGAAUAAGACCCAGUCCUUGCCCUCAAGGAGCCCACGGCCUUAUUGAGGAGAAUGAAAGGUCAAUGGGAAAGCUGUCUGAGACAAUAUGAAAAUCAAUGAUGCCACUCUAGCAUUAGCUGAAGAUCCCCUUGAUUUCAUCCAGCAGCCAAGACACUAAGUGACCCAAAGGAAGAAAAGGGUGAUCAGCGUGGCUGUGUGCCUACUCAGCGCGAAGACAACAAGGAUGAAAACCUUUAUGAUGAUCCACUUCCACUUAAUGAAUAGUAAAUAUAUUUUAUCUUUCUUUAUAAUUUUUUAAAUAACGUUUUCUCUAGCUUAUUGUAACAAUACAGUGUAUAAUGC
rnacentral:lncRNA from 1 species